UACGAACCGUGCGAACGUUGUUCGGAAUCACUGGGCUUAAAGGGCGCGUAGGCGGCCGGGUUGGUCGGGGGUGAAAUCCCCCAGCUUAACUGGGGAACUGCCUACGAUACUGCCUGGCUCGAGGGAGGAAGGGGCGGUCGGAACUGUCGGUGGAGCGGUGAAAUGCGUUGAUAUCGACAGGAACGCCGGUGGCGAAAGCGGACCGCUGGCCCUCUUCUGACGCUGAGGCGCGAAAGCCAGGGGAGCGAACGGG
rnacentral:rRNA from 1 species